rnacentral:rRNA from 1 species
UACAGAGGGUGCGAGCGUUGUCCGGAAUCACUGGGCGUAAAGGGCGCGUAGGUGGCGGGAUAAGCGUGUGGUGAAAGCCCGGGGCUCAACCCCGUGUCUGCCAUGCGGACUGUCUUGCUCGAGCGUAGUAGAGGCAGGUGGAAUUCCGGGUGUAGCGGUGGAAUGCGUAGAGAUCCGGAAGAACACCGGUGGCGAAGGCGGUCUGCUGGGCCAAGACUGACGCUGAGGCGCGACAGCGUGGGGAGCAAACAGG